GACGAACGCUGGCGGCGUGCUUAACACAUGCAAGUCGAACGAAGAGCGAUGGAAGCUUGCUUCUAUCAAUCUUAGUGGCGAACGGGUGAGUAACGCGUAAUCAACCUGCCCUUCAGAGGGGGACAACAGUUGGAAACGACUGCUAAUACCGCAUACGAUCUAAUCUCGGCAUCGAGGAUAGAUGAAAGGUGGCCUCUACAUGUAAGCUAUCACUGAAGGAGGGGAUUGCGUCUGAUUAGCUAGUUGGAGGGGUAACGGCCCACCAAGGCGAUGAUCAGUAGCCGGGUUGAGGGGAGGAACGGCCACAUGGGGACUGAAACACGGCCCAGACUCUUACGGGAGGCAGCAGUGGGGAAUCUUCCGCAAGGGAGGAAAUUCUGACGGAGCAACGCCGGGUGAGUGAUGACGGCCUUCGGGUUGUAAAGCUUUUUUAACGGGGACAAAAGGCCUUCUUGCGAAUAGUGAAAAGGAUUGACGGUACCGGAAUAGAAAGCCACGGCUAACUACGU
rnacentral:rRNA from 1 species